UGGUUGACUCAUAGUAAUUGAGCUGAUCGCACGGUCUUGCACCGGCGACGUGUCUUUCAAGUAUCUGCCGUAUCAACUUUCGAUGGUAGUGUAUCUGACUACCAUGGUGAUCACGCGUAACGGAGAAUAAGGGUUCGACUCCGGAGAGUUCGCCUGAGAAAUCGCGAACACAUCUAAGGAAGGCAGCAGGCGCGAAAAUUACCCACUCUCAGCACGAGGAGGUAGUGACGAAAAAUAACGAGACCGUUCUCUUAUGAGGCCGGUCAUCGGAAUGGGUACAAUUUAAACCCUUUAACGAGUAUCUAUGAGAGGGCAAGUCUGGUGCCAGCAGCCGCGGUAAUUCCAGCUCUCAAAGUGCAUAGAAUUAUUGCUGCGGUUAAAAAGCUCGUAGUUGGAUCUGUGCCAUAGGACGGGGUCUACCUUCGGGUACGCACUUCGCUCCUAGGCUUUUUGCUGGUUUUCCCGUCGUAGCCUUCACUGGUUGCGGCGGGUGGCUGGCGAGUUUACUUUGAGAAAAUCAGAGUGCUCAACACAGGCGUAUAGCUUGAAUGAUUGUGCAUGGAAUAAUAGAAAAGGAUUUCGGUCCUCUUUUAUUGGUUUUGUGGACUGAGAUAAUGGUUAACAGGGACAAACGGGGGCAUUCGUAUCGCUGCGUGAGAGGUGAAAUUCUUGGACCGUAGCGAGACGCCCUACUGCGAAAGCAUUUGCCAAGAAUGUCUUCAUUA
rnacentral:rRNA from 1 species